UACGUAGGGUGCAAGCGUUGUCCGGAAUUAUUGGGCGUAAAGAGCUCGUAGGCGGUUUGUCGCGUCUGCUGUGAAAACCCGAGGCUCAACCUCGGGCCUGCAGUGGGUACGGGCAGACUAGAGUGCGGUAGGGGAGAUUGGAAUUCCUGGUGUAGCGGUGGAAUGCGCAGAUAUCAGGAGGAACACCGGUGGCGAAGGCGGUUCUCUGGGACGGUACUGACGCUGAGACGCGAAAGCGUGGGGAGCGAACAGG
rnacentral:rRNA from 1 species